AUACGGAGGGUGCAAGCGUUAAUCGGAAUUACUGGGCGUAAAGCGUGCGUAGGUGGUUUGUUAAGUUAGAUGUGAAAGCCCCGGGCUCAACCUGGGAACUGCAUUUGAAACUGGCAUACUAGAGUACAGGAGAGGAAAGUGGAAUUUCAGGUGUAGCGGUGAAAUGCGUAGAUAUCUGAAGGAACAUCAAUGGCGAAGGCAGCUUUCUGGACUAAUACUGACACUGAGGUACGAAAGCGUGGGUAGCAAACAGGAUUAGAAACCCUAGUAGUCC
rnacentral:rRNA from 1 species